UACAGAGGUCUCGAGCGUUGUUCGGAUUCAUUGGGCGUAAAGGGUGCGUAGGUGGCGCUGUAAGUCGGGUGUGAAAUCCUGAGGCUUAACCUCGGAACUGCAUUCGAUACUGCGGCGCUUGAGGACUGGAGAGGAGACUGGAAUUCACGGUGUAGCAGUGAAAUGCGUAGAUAUCGUGAGGGAAGACCAGUGGCGAAGGCGGGUCUCUGGACAGUUCCUGACACUGAGGCACGAAGGCCAGGGGAGCAAACGGG
rnacentral:rRNA from 1 species